rnacentral:rRNA from 1 species
CCAGACUCCUACGGGAGGCAGCAGUGGGGAAUAUUGGGCAAUGGAGGAAACUCUGACCCAGCAAUGCCGCGUGAAUGAAGAAGGUCUUCGGAUUGUAAAGUUCUUUAGUCAGGGAAGAAGUCAAUGACGGUACCUGAAGAAUAAGCUCCGGCUAACUACGUGCCAGCAGCCGCGGUAAUACGUAGGGAGCAAGCGUUGUUCGGAAUGACUGGGCGUAAAGGGAGCGCAGGCGGCCUUGCAAGUCUGAUGUGAAAGGCCGGGGCCCAACCCCGGGACUGCAUUGGAAACUGCGAGGCUGGAGUGUCGGAGAGGCAGGCGGAAUUCCUAGUGUAGCGGUGAAAUGCGUAGAUAUUAGGAGGAACACCAGUGGCGAAGGCGGCCUGCUGGACGAUGACUGACGCUGAGGCUCGAAAGCGUGGGGAGCAAACAGGAUUAGAUACCCGCGUA